AAAUUAAAUAUUCUUUUGGAUAUAAAUUUCAACAGUAGAUAGCUGCCUAGUGGAAAUGAAUAAUAUCCCAGCCACUAGUGUACAGGGUGUUUUGUGGCACAGGAUUAUGUAAUAUGGAACUGCUCAAGCAAAUAACUAGUCAUCACAACAGCAGUUCUUUGUAAUAACUGAAAAAGAAUAUUGUUUCUCGGAGAAGGAUGUCAAAAGAUCGGCCCAGCUCAGGGAGCAGUUUGCCCUACUAGCUCCUCGGACAGCUGUAAGAAGAGUCUCUGGCUCUUUAGAAUACUGAUCCCAUUGAAGAUACCACGCUGCAUGUGUCCUUAGUAGUCAUGUCUCCUUAGGCUCCUCUUGGACAUUCUGAGCAUGUGAGACCUGAGGACUGCAAACAGCUGUCAGAGGCUCCAAAUUCAGCAUAUCUUUCCUUUUGAGAAUCUGGCCAAGCUCCAGCUAAUCUACUUGGAUGGGUUGCCAGCUAUCUGGAGAAAAAGGUGGAGAUGGGGCAUGAGGAUCCUCCAGGGGAAAAGCUCACUACCACUGGGCAACAACCCUAGGUCAGGAGGUUCUGUCAAGAUACUUUCCUGGUCCCAGAUAGGAAGAUAAAGUCUCAAAAACAACCACCACAAGUCAAGCUCUUCAUUGUUCCUAUCUGCCAAAUCAUUAUACUUCCUACAAGCGGUGCGGAGAGCUGAGUCUUCAGCAGGUCCAAGAAAUUUGAACACACUGAAGGAAGUCAGCCUUCCCACCUGAAGAUCAACGUGCCUGGCACUCUAGCA
rnacentral:lncRNA from 1 species